AAAGAUAUAGCAUAUUCUUCUGAAAUAUACUUUAUUAACCCAUUCCGAGUACCUUACCCGUUGCUUCCGCGAGGCUGUCCUCACGGCCCUCUGAAGAUUUAUCUUUGGGGAAGUACCUUGCGGAAAGGUAUACAAUAACUCUUGCAUUACCAUGUCAUCUGUCUGAAUCUGUUAAAACAAUAUUA
rnacentral:misc_RNA from 1 species